UAAUACAUCGGAACGUACCUCGUAGUGGGGGAUAACUCGGCGAAAGCCGUGCUAAUACCGCAUAUGCUCUACGGAGGAAAGCAGGGGACCGUAACAGGCCUUGUGCUAUGGGAGCGGCCGAUGUCCGAUUAGCUAGUUGGUGGGGUAAUGGCCUACCAAGGCGACGAUCGGUAGCUGGUCUGAGAGGAUGAUCAGCCACACUGGGACUGAGACACGGCCCAG
rnacentral:rRNA from 1 species